UACGUAGGGCGCAAGCGUUGUCCGGAAUUAUUGGGCGUAAAGAGCUCGUAGGCGGCUUGUCACGUCGGGUGUGAAAGCCCGGGGCUUAACCCCGGGUCUGCAUUCGAUACGGGCAGGCUAGAGUGUGGUAGGGGAGAUCGGAAUUCCUGGUGUAGGCGGUGAAAUGCGCAGAUAUCAGGAGGAACACCGGUGGCGAAGGCGGAUCUCUGGGCCAUUACUGACGCUGAGGAGCGAAAGCGUGGGGAGCGAACAGG
rnacentral:rRNA from 1 species